ACGGCACACCGCUUGGAUGUCAACAUUCUUCUUCUUACCGCUUGGUGCAUCAAUCAAUUACCCAUAUUUGAGUUUUGUUAACCUAUAUUUGAGUAUCAUUUACGCAUAUUUGCGGUUGUGCACUUUUUGGAAAAAAGGUAAACUGAUCUAAGCGUGAAGGCAAGCCGAGAUUUCGCUGUCAUGAGCUGUUAAAGCGAGCCCAAAUCUGGAGCUCGAUUUGAAUAGGUCGUAUGUGCUUUUGUCGAUAUAAAAUUCGAUCUGUUUAUUUUAGUCAUUGUAGAAAUAUGGCAGACAUUUUGCAAACUUUUAAUGAUGGAACAGGAAGCCUGUUUUGUGAGGAUUCUGCUGUAUGUACAGAGCCCGUUCGCUCUUAGCAAACUCGCUCAUUGCAACACUUCUAGAUUGAGUUUAAAUAAGGGCGAAAGUAACAUGAGAGAGUUCUCUUCAUCGACUCUCUCUUCUGCAAAUUAAAGUGACAAGAUGUAAAUUCAAUCGAACUUUUUUACACUUAAACGCUAGAUUGCAUCGCAACCUAGCGAUUUAUGACCAAAAAGUUCAACCAUACUUGCAUCAUGUCACUUUAAAUUGAAGAAGAGAGAGUCGAUGAAGAGAACUCUCUCAUGUUACUUUCGCCCUUAUUUAAACUCAAUCAAGACUUUUUGGUUGCAAGUCCGCUAAUUGCAAAAUUUGACACGUGUUUGCAAUUAAAAAGCAAUCAAGUGUCAAAUUUAUGCUGUCAGUCAUGCUGGCAGUGCAUUUAGAUGCACUUUAGUGUCAAAGUGACGUUGCAAUUAGCGAAUGGCAUUCGCUCGUUGCAAAGUAAACAUUUUGCAACGAGCGAACGGCCGCUGUAUCGACUUUGCUCAAUUUCAACGGUGUGAUGUUUCUCUCUUGACAGUUCUAUUACUAAUGAUGUUUCUAAACACACCGCCUACUCAGCGGUCUGCUAAACUACCACAUCUCCUUUUCUUCAACGAAAGAUGUUUGUUUUGCGACUCAUUUUCUCUAGAAGUGGCCUUUUUUUGCUUGCACUGCGAAUCCCGCUUUACUCUAUUGGGAGUAAAAAGUACCCUCUUUUUGCUUGUAUAUGAAGCUGUCAAAAUAAAGGGUACUUGUCAAUUUCUAAAAAAGGGUAACUUUUGCCCAUCCUGGAGUUUCAAUCGUAUACUCUUCAAUGAGUGAAAAAAUCCUUGAACAUUUUCGUGGAGCUGGAUAUUCAAAACUGAUGCUGGGACAAAUCACCAAAUGCUGACAUUGCUCAACGAUUUUGCGGGAUGUUCGAGUUCUGGAGGUCCACCAGGAAAGGCACAAUGAUCGAAGUAGGACCACAGGAGCACCGAUGAAGUCGGGUGAGAAAAUUACAUCGACCGAAAGCCAGAUGCGGGCAGUGCGAUUAGUGCUUUAAUUUUCUUGAGCAAAUAUGGCAAAUAUACAGAAAUAAAAAUAUUAGAUAUUGAGUAAAACUACGAUCAUUUUGUUGGUUACAUUAUUAUUUUUGCUGGUUUUAAAAAUUGAAAUCUCAAGUCCGCAUAAAUGGGCAAACAGGGUGAAUUUUACUCUUUUCCAAAUCCACAUCACUUCAGGAAAAAGGGUAAAAUUCACACGUUGAUUUGACGUACAAGCGGUUUACCCUUUAAAGAGUACAAGCUGUUUACUAUUUUUAUGAGUUCACCUAGUUACUCUCGAAAUGGGUGAAAAAGUACCCUUUAAAGAGUACUUUGGUUUUACAGUGUGUACACGGAGAAAUCAAACUACCUAAUUUUUGGGUCGAUUUUACUCAAAGCUGAGUAUAUCGAAUAAACUAGUUACCCAAAAUUAGGUUGUUUUCCCUCUUUCCCUCACCGAUGUUGUCAAAAACAAACAGAGAUGCAUCUACCCAACGGAAGUCCUUGAGCCCAAUAAGCCAAUUUUGGGUAAAUGCAGAUUUACUCAAAUUUGGGUUGAAUGAGGGGGGGUCUUGGGUUGAAUUUACCUACUCUUAAGUAAAUGUUUUUGCUGGAGGUGAAGGCAAUUUACCUAGUGUGAGUUUAAUCGAUUUACUCAAAUUUGGCUUAUUGGGCCGAACUAUAGGAUUGCGUCAAAAGAACUCAAUUUUGGGUAGUUUGGCGGUUCCGUGUAUAUGGAGCUGUCAAUAUAAAUGGUACUUGUCAAUUUCUUGAAAUGGGUAAAUUUUGCCCCUCUCAGAGAUCCGACCGUGAACUCUUUAAUGGGUGAAAAAUGUGUUGAACAGUUUCAUGGCGCGUCCAGUCGCACAAGGCUGAUGUUUGUGAUUCUGCUAAGUUUGACAAUUUUUCGGGAUGUUCGUGGUUCUGGACCGGCUCAGCGAUCAAAUUUGGAGCCAAGAUUCUAUCGACCGAAGACCGCCGAAAGUAUGACCUUGGUAUGACCAUAGACUAAUUUCAAGACCUCGAUGUACCACACGCUAAGGUCAGUUUACCUAUUUUUCUAAAAUAUGGGUAAAUUUUACUCAAAUUUGCGUAAACUUUACGCAAAUAUGGGUAAAUAAAACUCAUAUUUUGAAAAAGUGCACAUUCGCAUUUAUGGGUAAUAUUUAAAUACCCAUAUUUGGGUUACAAUUACUCAUAUUUAGGUACACAUUACCCAUAUUUGAGUCUUGUUUACCUAUAUUUGAGUAUCAUUUACGCAUAUUUGCGGUUAUGCACUUUUUGGAAAAAAGGUAAACUGAUCUUAGCGUGCAUAGAAAACGAUCAAAUUUUCGGUGACCAGUCCGGUACCCAAUAAAUAUUCAUAACCGUG